rnacentral:lncRNA from 1 species
ACAACUACUGCAGCUACAUUUUACCGAGUGUGUUUUCUGCAGCGGAUGCUGUGUCAAGUCCUUUCCAAAGCCACAUGACCACCCUAUGGCUCCAGUCUCUCACCAUUGACGGAGAACUUCUGCAUCCACCCUGACAACUCGAUCGUCACAGUAACUCUCUGAAGCGGACUGGGCAGUCCCGCGUUGCUAUGGCCCUGGUGUAGGCCAGUGGCUACAGCUCCAAUUCGACCUCUAGCCUGGGAACCUCCAUAUGCCUAAAGAGCGGCCCUAGAAAUGGCAAAAAGACAAAAAAAAAGAAAUUAAUAGAAGAUAAAUCAGAUUUCCACUUUCUCCAAAGCUACUCUCUUUAUUUUCCAUUAUAGAAUGUUACUCAUUCUAUUUCUGUACUUAGUUUUAUCAGUUCUUCCCAUGUCCUAUUCUUGGAAAAGUAUCUCUUUUUUUUAAUUUCAAAAGUAAUAUACAGUCACAGAAAAAAAUUAAUAUCGAUAAGCCCCCCAAAAGGAAGAGAAAAUUAAAAUCAUCUCUGAUUUCUCUAUCCCCAAAUAAUAUCAUUUAACAUGUUGAUAUGCAUCCUUCCAGACACUGCCCCAGGCAUAAAACUAUCAUUGCUCCUAGAGUGAUUUACAAAUAUUUAGUUAUUUUAUGCCUAACGUCUUCUCUACCUCCUGCUCUUGAAGUUUAGGGACAUUUUCUUCGUUUGACAAUGUGGACUUAAUACGGGGACUCUGAACAUAUUUUAUUGCAUGAGGAUCUUGUUGAUAUCAUAAAAUCAGAGGAAGGAUAAUAUUUAUUAGAAAUAUCCAGGCACAGGGCUCAGAAACAAAUCGCUUGUGCCUGAGCAGCAUUCUGUGUGUUCGAAGUGGCCAUGUAAACACCAAGCCCAGUGGAAUCAUAUAUCAUUACUCCAUAAACAACAAUAACAAUCCUUGAUUUAUAUCUUCAUAUUUUCUGCCUUGUUCUUGCAGAAAAGUUGGUAAAGGCUGAUUAUACUGUUACACCUACUUUUUUUAGAAGAUAGAAGAUAGGAGAAAAUAUUACCACAGUGGAAGGAGGGGGGAACCCAGAGGAAAAUCCGUUUUUUAAAAAAUCUGGGACGUGUCAGCUUGAUACACAGCUCUGAAGAUGAGAGCAAAGCAAAACAAACACAUGAGUUAUUUCUUGGAUCAAAAGUUUCAAUCAUCUUUGGGGCUCGCUUCUUAGGUAUUUGGAUAUUUAUAAACGAUAAGUAAGAUGGCAAACUCAAAAAAAAAUCUGGAAUGUGAAGCUUUCAGGUGAAAUGGUCUUGAACCAUGUUUCAGGCUGCAGUCUUCAUCAAAAGAAUUUUUAUCAGUGUGGGGAGCAGAGCUUAACAUUAAGAUGAAGGUGUGUUUCUUUUUUAUGAGUAUAAUCCUGCUGCAUUGAUGUGAAGCAGAAAUGUGUGCAGAGAUUGCUACCAAACACAGCCCCCAGUUCUUCCAUUUCAACAGGGAGUCAUCUGCAGGAUUUUUUGGCCAUACAUAUGAUUAUUAUGAUGUGAUUACUUCUAAUAGAAUUUCUACACAAAAUGUGCUUGGUUAAUUUUGUAUUCUCAGGUUGUAGCAGUUUCAGAAUCCACCGAUUUGGAUUUUUUUUUUUUUUUGGACAUUUUUGAGUACAGCAUAUCCAAGUUUUAUUUGGUUUUUAAAAGUGCUGCUGAUUGGAGUUCCCAUCGUUGCUGCAGCAGAAACAAAUCCGACUAGGAACCAUGAGGUUGUGGGUUCCAUCUCUGGCCUCAAUCAGUGGGUUAAGGAUCUGGUGUUGCCAUGAGCUGAGGUGUAGGUCGAAGACACGAAGACACGGAUCCUGCGUUGCUGUGGUGUAGGCCAGCAGUUGUAGCUCCGAUUUGACUGCUAGCCUGGGAACCUCCAUAUGCCAUGAGUGUGGCCCUAAAAAG